CCUACGGGAGGCUGCAGUGGGGAAUAUUGGACAAUGGGGGCAACCCUGAUCCAGCCAUGCCGCGUGUGUGAAGAAGGCCCUCGGGUUGUAAAUCACUUUCAGUGAGGAAGAACGCCUGGUGGUUAAUACCCAUCAGGAAAGACAUCACUCACAGAAGAAGCACCGGCUAACUCCGUGCCAGCAGCCGCGGUAAUACGGAGGGUGCGAGCGUUAAUCGGAAUUACUGGGCGUAAAGCGCGCGUAGGUGGCUUGAUAAGCCGGUUGUGAAAGCCCCGGGCUCAACCUGGGAACGGCAUCCGGAACUGUCAAGCUAGAGUGCAGGAGAGGAAGGUAGAAUUCCCGGUGUAGCGGUGAAAUGCGUAGAGAUCGGGAGGAAUACCAGUGGCGAAGGCGGCCUUCUGGACUGACACUGACACUGAGGUGCGAAAGCGUGGGUAGCAAACAGGAUUAGAUACCCUUGUAGUC
rnacentral:rRNA from 1 species